UUGCACCGGGGAUUAGUGGCGAACGGGUGAGUAACACGUGAGUAACCUGCCCUUAACUCUGGGAUAAGCCUGGGAAACUGGGUCUAAUACCGGAUAUGACUCCUCAUCGCAUGGUGGGGGGUGGAAAGCUUUUUGUGGUUUUGGAUGGACUCGCGGCCUAUCAGCUUGUUGGUGAGGUAAUGGCUCACCAAGGCGACGACGGGUAGCCGGCCUGAGAGGGUGACCGGCCACACUGGGACUGAGACACGGCCCAGACUCCUACGGGAGGCAGCAGUGGGGAAUAUUGCACAAUGGGCGCAAGCCUGAUGCAGCGACGCCGCGUGAGGGAUGACGGCCUUCGGGUUGUAAACCUCUUUCAGUAGGGAAGAAGCGAAAGUGACGGUACCUGCAGAAGAAGCGCCGGCUAACUACGUGCCAGCAGCCGCGGUAAUACGUAGGGCGCAAGCGUUAUCCGGAAUUAUUGGGCGUAAAGAGCUCGUAGGCGGUUUGUCGCGUCUGCCGUGAAAGUCCGGGGCUCAACUCCGGAUCUGCGGUGGGUACGGGCAGACUAGAGUGAUGUAGGGGAGACUGGAAUUCCUGGUGUAGCGGUGAAAUGCGCAGAUAUCAGGAGGAACACCGAUGGCGAAGGCAGGUCUCUGGGCAUUAACUGACGCUGAGGAGCGAAAGCAUGGGGAGCGAACAGGAUUAGAUACCCUGGUAGUCCAUGCCGUAAACGUUGGGCACUAGGUGUGGGGGACAUUCCACGUUUUC
rnacentral:rRNA from 1 species